UUAAAAAAAGACUAAGAACAUUAUAAACGCAAACAAUAAUUUCAGAAGUGUGUUUUUAAAUUAUGCAUAAGAAAUAUAAAAUUAAUAAUUAACAAUAAUAAAAUUCUUUACGAAUAAUAUUAAGAGCUUCUAUUCCAUCACUUUGAUUUGUAUCUGGAUCUAUUGGAGAUAUUUCAUAAGGUGAUUUGUUGAGAUCCAAAGAGCUAGUCUCUUUACUUUUUUCCAAGACGUACUGAUAUAUAAAGUCAAUUUCAUCAAUUAUAGGAUGCGGUACGAAG